GAUGAACGCUGGCGGCGUGCCUAAUACAUGCAAGACGAGCGAACAGAUAAGGAGCUUGCUCCUUUGACGUUAGCGGCGGACGGGUGAGUAACACGUGGAUAACCUACCUAUAAGACUGGGAUAACUUCGGGAAACCGGAGCUAAUACCGGAUAACAUAUUGAACCGCAUGGUUCAAUAGUGAAAGGCGGCUUUGCUGUCACUUAUAGAUGGAUCCGCGCCGUAUUAGCUAGUUGGUAAGGUAACGGCUUACCAAGGCAACGAUACGUAGCCGACCUGAGAGGGUGCUCGGCCACACUGGAACUGAGACACGGUCCAGACUCCUACGGGAGGCAGCAGUAGGGAAUCUUCCGCAAUGGGCGAAAGCCUGACGGAGCAACGCCGCGUGAGUGAUGAAGGUCUUCGGAUCGUAAAACUCUGUUAUCAGGGAAGAACAAAUGUGUAAGUAACUGUGCACAUCUUGACGGUACCUGAUCAGAAAGCCACGGCUAACUACGUGCCAGCCGCCGCCGUAA
rnacentral:rRNA from 1 species